rnacentral:rRNA from 1 species
AAUACUGUCUUCCAUGGAGUGGUGCCCGGUAAGUCGGCAUACCCAGUUGGCAAGAUUAAACUGGGAGUAGCCUUUGGAGAUGAGCAUGACUCCAGGGCUGAGAAGUUAACUUUUGAAGUGGACAAGAUCAGAAGCCCGUACCACGCUCUGUUUAGACGGCCGGCUUAUGCCAAGUUCAUGGCGUGGCCGUGUUAUGUUUAUCUGCAGCUCAAGAUGUCGGGUUACAAAGGGACCAUCACAGUACAUGGAAGUCGCAAGAUAGCCUUGGAGUGUGAAGAAGGUGACACUGCUUAUGCAGAGUUGGUCUGUGCAACAGAAGAGUUGAAGUUUUAC